UGGGAUCUUCUGGACAGCCAAGACCUCUCCCACAGGGCUCACUUUUUGGAGUGCCAUCACAUAACCCUCAAAUCCCAAAGAAAAGGACAGCUGCUAAAAGUAUUGAGGAAUCCAGAAAUACUGUACCUAUAUCUGAAAAUCUGGCCAACCUGAAAAAU